UACAGAGGGUGCGAGCGUUGUCCGGAAUCAUUGGGCGUAAAGAGCUCGUAGGCGGUUCGGUAAGUCGGGUGUGAAAUCUCCGUGCUCAACACGGAGCGGCCACCUGAUACUGCCGUGACUCGAGUCCGGUAGGGGAGUGUGGAAUUCCCGGUGUAGCGGUGAAAUGCGCAGAUAUCGGGAGGAACACCAGUAGCGAAGGCGGCACUCUGGGCCGUGACUGACGCUGAGGAGCGAAAGCGUGGGUAGCAAACAGG
rnacentral:rRNA from 1 species